UGAUGUUAUGAUGAUGGGUAAAAUGUUCAGCUGCUCUGAAUGGACUCAAUGAAUACAGCCUUUUGAACAGUG